rnacentral:rRNA from 1 species
GACGAACGCUGGCGGCGUGCUUAACACAUGCAAGUCGAACGGAAAGGCCCUGCUUUUGUGGGGUGCUCGAGUGGCGAACGGGUGAGUAACACGUGAGUAACCUGCCCUUGACUUUGGGAUAACUUCAGGAAACUGGGGCUAAUACCGGAUAGGAGCUCCUGCUGCAUGGUGGGGGUUGGAAAGUUUCGGCGGUUGGGGAUGGACUCGCGGCUUAUCAGCUUGUUGGUGGGGUAGUGGCUUACCAAGGCUUUGACGGGUAGCCGGCCUGAGAGGGUGACCGGCGACAUGGGGACUGCGAGAGGGACCAGUAUCCUACGGGAGGCAACAGUGGGGAGUAUGGCACAGUGGGCGGGAGCCUGAUACAACAGCGCCGCGUGCGGAAAGACGGCCUGUGGGUUGUGAACCGCUUUCGCCUGAGACGAAGCGUGAGUGACGGUAAUGAGUAAAGAAGCACCGGCUAACUACGUG